GGAGUCGUGGCUGAGCGGCCGAAAGCACCACCCUGCUAAGGUGGAGUCCCUUGAACUGGGGACCGUGGGUUCAAAUCCCACCGACUCCG
rfam:Brevibacterium mcbrellneri ATCC 49030 contig00142, whole genome shotgun sequence.